rnacentral:rRNA from 1 species
CAGUCGCCACGGUAAUACGAAGGGUGCAGGCGUUAAUCGGAAUUACUGGGCGUAAAGCGUGCGUAGGCGGUUUGUUAAGUCUGCUGUGAAAUCCCCGGGCUCAACCUGGGAAUGGCAGUGGAUACUGGCAAGCUAGAGUGUGUCAGAGGAUGGUGGAAUUCCCGGUGUAGCGGUGAAAUGCGUAGAGAUCGGGAGGAACAUCAGUGGCGAAGGCGGCCAUCUGGGACAACACUGACGCUGAGGCACGAAAGCGUGGGGAGCAAACAGGAUUAGAUACCCGCGUAGUCCCUGUCUCUUAUAA